rnacentral:rRNA from 1 species
UACGUAGGGUGCAAGCGUUGUCCGGAAUUAUUGGGCGUAAAGAGCUCGUAGGCGGUUGUCGCGUCGAAUGUGAAACCCGGGCUCAACCCCGGCCUGCAUUCGAUACGGGCAGACUAGAGUUCGGUAGGGAGUCGUGGAAUUCCUGGUGUAGCGGUGAAAUGCGCAGGAUAUCAGGAGGAGCACCGGUGGCGAAGGCGGGACUCUGGGCCGAUGACUGACGCUGAGGAGCGAAAGCGUGGGAGC